rnacentral:lncRNA from 1 species
ACUAUUUCAAGCAAAUGUACAUUCCCCCCUUUUUGUCGACAGAAUAACCCCCCUACGUCUUUUUUCUUUUGAUAUCUCUGAACUAAUUAAACCAAUUUUGAAAAAUUGGACAGAUAAAGAGGGAGAAUUCAAGAUUCUAGAGUCUAGAGAAGAACAAACAAAAAGAGAAGAGAAAAAAGAAAAGGACAAAAAGAGGAUAACAAAAGAAAGGAACAGGCACGGAUAGCGAUCGAAGAAGCCUGGGAUACCAUUCCUUUGGCACAAAUAAUAAGAGGUUACAUGUUAAUAACUCAAUCAAUUCUUCGAAAAUAUAUUCUAUUACCUGCAUUGAUAAUAGCCAAAAAUAUCGGGCGUAUGUUAUUCUUGCAACUUCCUGAAUGGUCUGAAGAUUUACAGGAAUGGAAUAGAGAAAUGCAGAUUAAAUGUACUUAUAAUGGUGUUCAAUUAUCAGAAACAGAAUUUCCCAAAAAUUGGUUAAGAGACGGGAUUCAGAUCAAAAUUUUAUUUCCUUUUUGUCUGAAACCUUGGCAUAUAUCUAAACUGUACCCCUCCCGCAGAGAGCUAAUGAAAAAGCAAAAACAAAAAGAUGAUUUUUGUUUUUUAACAGUUUGGGGAAUGGAAGCUGAACUUCCCUUUGGUUCUCCCCGAAAGCGACCUUCAUUUUUUGAGCCCAUUUUUAAGGAACUCGAAAAAAAAAUUGGAAAAUUCAAAAAGAAAUAUUUUCUAACUCUAAAAAUUUUAAAAGGAAAAACAAAAUUAUUUAGAAGAGUUUCAAAAGAAACCACAAAAUUGUUUAUCAAAAGUAUUGGAUUUCUAAAAAAAAUAAAAAAAGAACUUUCAAAAGUAAAUCUAAUUGUAUUAUUUAGAUUCAAAGAAAUAUCUGAAUCCAAUGAAACAAAAAAAGAAAAAGAUUAUCUAAUUAGUAAUCAAAUAAUUAACGAAUCAUUUCGUCAAAUUGAAUCUGGAAAUUGGCCAAAUUCUUCACUGAUAGAAACAAAAAUGAAGGAUUUGACUGAUAGAACAAGUACAAUCAAAAAUAAAAUAGAAAGAAUUACAAAAGAGAAAAAGAAAGUAACUCCAGAAAUAGACAUUAAUCCUAAUAAAACAAAUAAUAUUAAAAAAUUCGAAUCGCCAAAAAAAAUUUUCCAAAUAUUAAAAAGCAGAAAUACUCGAGUAAUAUGGAAAUUCCAUUAUUUUCUAAAAUUAUUCAUUCAAAGAUUAUACAUCAAUUUAUUUUUAUCUAUCAUUAAUAUUCCUAGAAUUACUACACAACUCUUUCUUAAAUCAACAAACAAAUUGAUUGAGAAAUUCAUCUCCAAUAAUGAAAUAAAUCAAGAAAAAAUUAAUAAUAAAAAAAAAAUUCACUUUAUGUUUAUUUCGACUAUAAAAAAGUCACUUUAUAAUAUUAGUAAGAAAAAUUCACAUAUUUUGUGUGAUUUAUCCUACUUGUCACAAGCAUAUGUAUUUUACAAAUUAUCACAAACCCAAGUUAUUAAUUUUUCUAAAUUUAGAUCUGUUCUUCAAUAUAACACAACGUCUUGUUUCCUUAAGACUAAAAUAAAGGACUAUUUUAAAACACUAGGAAUAUUUCAUUCGGAAUUAAAAGAUAAGAAACUUCAGAGUUAUAGAAUAAAUCAAUGGAAAAACUGGUUAAGAUGGCAUUAUCAAUACGAUUUAUCUCAGAUUAGAUGGUCUAGAUUAAUGCCAAAAAAAUGGCGAACUAGGGUUAAUCAAAGUUGUAUGGCUCAAAAUAAAAAUAGAAACUUAAACAAAUGGAAUUCAUAUGAAAAAGACCAAUUACUUCAUUACAAAAAAGAAAAUGAUUCGGAACUCUAUUCAUUAUCAAACGAAAAAGAUAAUUUUAAAAAAUGUUAUGGAUAUGGUCUUUUAGCAUAUAAAUCGAUUAAUUAUGAAAAUAAAAGUGACUCAUUUUUUUCUAGAUUACCCUUUGAAGUUCAAGUAAAGAAGAACUUAGAAAUUUCGUAUAAUUCCAACACGUCCAAACACAACUUUGUUGAUAUGCCCGGCAAUCUUCAUAUCAAUAAUUAUCUAAGAAAGGGCAAUAUUCUAGAUAGAGAAAGAAAUCUCGAUAGAAAAUAUUUUGAUUGGAAAAUUAUCCAUUUUUCUCUUAGACAAAAAGGAGAUAUUGAAGCCUGGGUUAAGAUCGAUACCAACAGUAAUCCAAAUACUAAAAUUGGUAUUAAUAAUUAUCAAAUAAUUGAUAAAAUUGAGAAAAAGGGGGUUUUUUAUCUUACAACUCAUCAACAUCCAGAAAAAACUCAAAAAAAUUCGAAAAAAGUCUUUUUUGAUUGGAUGGGAAUGAAUGAAAAAAUAUUUAAUCGUCCCAUAUUGAAUCUGGAAUUUUGGUUCUUCCCAGAAUUUGUACUACUUUAUAAUGUCUAUAAAAUAAAACCGUGGAUUAUACCAAGCAAAUUCCUUCUUUUUAAUUUGAAUACAAAUAAAAAUGUUAGUCAAAAUAAAAACCAAAACUUUUUUCUACCAUCAAAUAAAAAAAUAAAAAUAAAGAAUCGAAGUCAAGAAGCAAAAGAACCCCCAAGUCAAAGAGAGCGUGGAUCAGAUAUAGAAAACAAAGGAAAUCUGAGCCCUGUUUUUUCAAAACAUCAAACCGAUCUUGAAAAAGAUUACGUGGAAUCAGACACAAAAAAGGGUAAAAAUAAAAAACAAUACAAAAGCAACACGGAAGCAGAACUAGAUUUGUUCUUGAAACGUUAUUUGCUUUUUCAAUUGAGAUGGAACGGUGCUUUGAAUCAAAGAAUGUUCGAAAAUAUCAAGGUAUAUUGUCUCCUGCUUCGACUGAUAAAUCCAACCAAAAUUACUAUAUCGUCAAUUCAAAGGAGAGAAAUGAGUUUGGAUAUAAUGCUGAUUCAGGCAAAUUUACCUCUUACAGACUUGAUGAAGAAGGGGGUAUUGAUUAUCGAACCUAUUCGGUUGUCUGUAAAAGAUAAUGGACAAUUUAUUAUGUAUCAAACCAUAGGUAUUUCAUUGGUUCAUAAAAGUAAACACCAAACUAAUCAAAGAUACCGAGAACAAAGAUAUGUUGAUAAAAAGAAUUUUGACGAAUUCAUUCUGCAACCUCAAACUCAAAGAAUAAAUACAGAAAAAACUCAUUUUGGUUUGCUUGUUCCUGAAAAUAUUUUAUGGUCUAGACGUCGUAGAGAGUUGAGAAUUCGAAGUUUUUUUAAUUCUUGGAAUUGGAAUGUCGUCGAUAGAAAUUCAGUAUUUUGCAACGAAACCAAUGUAAAAAACUGGAGUCAAUUUUUGGGUGAACGGAAACCCCUUUAUAAAGAUAAAAAUGAAUUAAUUAAAUUUAAGUUCUUUUUUUGGCCUAAUUAUCGAUUAGAAGAUUUAGCUUGUAUGAAUCGUUAUUGGUUUGAUACCAAUAAUGGUAGCCGUUUCAGUAUCUUAAGGAUACAUAUGUAUCCACGAUUGAAAAUUAAUUGAUAGUACUAUAUACCCUGUCUCGUAUAGAGUAUCUGAAAGCAAAUAAAUGCAAACAUGCCUUGUUUUACAUCUCAUUCGAAUCUAAUUCGAGUAGACAAUACUAAAUCAAUAAAAUAAGGUAUUGAUUAGAUCUAGAAAUGAAUCAACAGAAUCUUCUUCAUUUUAGGAUUUUAGGUUUCAAUUAUUCGCUUUUGUGAUUAAAAAAAACGUACCUACCGUCUUUUUGGAUUCCUAUCUGAAUCAAAUUUGAAAUUUGAUUAAUUUAUUGGAAUUGCUAAAAUUAGAGGUUCAUAAAGAAAUUAAGUCUAUAUACCACGUUUAAAUUACUGGCAUUAUUAUUACUGAUCAAUAAAAUUCGAAAAAAUCCAUAUCUGUAAAAUAAAGAAAGGGGAAAUUCAUUUAUGGUAAAAAAUUCUGUCAUUUCAGUUAUUUCUCAAGAAGAAAAGAAAGGAUCUGUUGAAUUUCAAGUAUUCAAUUUCACCAAUAAGAUACGAAGACUUACUUCACAUUUAGAAUUGCACAAAAAAGACUAUUUAUCUCAGAGAGGUUUGAAGAAAAUUUUGGGAAAACGUCAACGACUGCUAGCUUAUUUGGCAAAAAAAAAUAGAGUACGUUAUAAAGAAUUAAUUAAUCGGUUGGACAUUCGAGAGACAAAAACUCGUUAAUUUGAUUAAUUUGAAGAGUUAUUUCAUUUUCACUUAUAUGUUUCGAUUAAAUUUUGAUGAACUUCUUUUCACUUUCAGUAAUUCAUGGAAGAAUGAAUCGUUAAAAAACUUAUGACUGCACCAACUACAAGAAAAGACCUCAUGAUAGUCAAUAUGGGGCCUCAGCACCCAUCAAUGCACGGUGUUCUUCGACUCAUCGUUACUCUAGAUGGUGAAGAUGUUGUCGACUGCGAACCAAUAUUGGGUUAUUUACAUAGAGGGAUGGAGAAAAUUGCGGAAAACCGAACAAUUAUACAAUAUUUGCCUUAUGUAACACGUUGGGAUUAUUUAGCUACUAUGUUCACAGAAGCAAUAACCAUAAAUGGACCCGAACAAUUAGGCAAUAUUCAAGUACCUAAAAGGGCUAGCUAUAUCAGAGUCAUUAUGUUGGAGUUGAGUCGGAUAGCUUCUCAUUUGUUAUGGCUCGGUCCUUUUAUGGCGGAUAUUGGUGCACAGACCCCUUUCUUCUAUAUUUUUAGAGAAAGAGAAUUGAUAUAUGACCUAUUCGAAGCUGCCACCGGUAUGCGAAUGAUGCAUAAUUAUUUUAGGAUUGGAGGAGUGGCUGCCGAUCUACCCUAUGGCUGGAUAGAUAAAUGUUUGGAUUUUUGCGAUUAUUUUUUAACAGGGGUUGCUGAGUAUCAAAAACUUAUUACUCGGAAUCCUAUUUUUUUAGAACGAGUUGAAGGCGUAGGCAUUAUUGGGAGAGACGAGGCAUUAAAUUGGGGUUUAUCGGGACCAAUGCUACGAGCUUCCGGAAUAGAAUGGGAUCUUCGUAAAGUUGAUCAUUAUGAGUCUUACGACGAAUUUGAUUGGCAGGUUCAAUGGCAACGAGAAGGGGAUUCAUUAGCUCGUUAUUUAGUACGAAUCGGUGAAAUGACAGAAUCCAUAAAGAUUAUUCAACAGGCUCUGGAAGGAAUUCCAGGGGGCCUUACGAAAAUUUAGAAAUGCGACGUUUUGACAGAUUAAAAGAUCCUGAAUGGAAUGAUUUUGAAUAUCGGUUUAUUAGUAAAAAGCCUUCUCCAACUUUUGAAUUGUCGAAACAAGAACUUUAUGUGAGAGUUGAAGCCCCAAAAGGAGAAUUGGGGAUUUUUCUGAUAGGAGAUCAGAGCGUUUUUCCUUGGAGAUGGAAAAUUCGCCCACCAGGUUUUAUCAAUUUGCAAAUUCUUCCUCAGUUAGUUAAAAGAAUGAAAUUGGCUGAUAUUAUGACAAUACUAGGUAGCAUAGAUAUCAUUAUGGGAGAAGUUGAUCGUUGAAAUGAUAAUUGAUACAACAGAAAUAGAGACUAUCAAUUCUUUUUCCAAAUUGGAAUCCUUAAAAGAAGUCUAUGGGAUCAUAUGGAUGCUUGUCCCUAUUGUGACUCUUGUAUUAGGAAUCACAAUAGGUGUACUAGUAAUUGUUUGGUUAGAAAGAGAAAUAUCUGCAGGAAUACAACAACGUAUUGGGCCUGAAUAUGCCGGCCCGUUAGGAAUUCUUCAAGCUCUAGCAGAUGGGACAAAACUACUUUUGAAAGAGAACCUUAUUCCAUCUACAGGAGAUACUCGUUUAUUCAGUAUCGGACCAUCCAUAGCAGUAAUAUCUAUCUUUCUAAGUUAUUCAGUAAUUCCUUUUGGUGAUCACCUUGUUCUAGCCGAUCUUAGUAUUGGUGUUUUUUUUUGGAUUGCCAUUUCAAGUAUUGCUCCCGUUGGACUUCUUAUGUCGGGGUAUGGAUCAAAUAAUAAAUAUUCCUUUUUAGGUGGUCUACGGGCAGCUGCUCAAUCAAUUAGUUAUGAAAUACCAUUAGCUCUAUGUGUGUUAUCAAUAUCUCUACGUGUGAUUCGGUGAGACCUAAAAUUUAUCCAAAUUCUUUUCUUUCUAGAAACAAGGAUAAAAAGAUUUGAUUGAUUAUAUAUAUUUUUUUUCUUCAGCAUUUGAGUUGAUGAACUAAAUCAGAUAGUUAUAUGAGUGAAAGAAAACGGCUUCUAAAUUUGCAGUAAAAAAGUUGAGUCUCAUUUCCUAUGUACAAGAAUCAAAUGGUGAAAAAAGUAAACAUAAGCAAGAGAGAUUGUUUACCCCAAGAUUCGUGAAUUGUCAUGAUAGCUUGAAGCGGGUUCAAAAGACCAACUCUAUGGAGUUUUUACUGUCUAUUACCAUAGAUGGAUUUCCACAACGGGAGGUUUUUGAAACAAAAAAUGAGUGGAUGGUUAGGAAGACUAAGAUACACAAAGGAUUAGUAAUUGAGAUUAUGUAAGUUAUCCAAGAGGAUAUUUCUGUACAUAAAAGGAAUUCAAAUUGGGGCUUUACGUUCGUAGAAAUGAUCAAGAAGUACUCCCCAUGAUUCUGAUCCAGAGUAUGUUCCUAUCCACUGAGUAAGUAACUAACUAUCAAGAACGAAGUAAUCUUUUACUUUGGUUAAAGACCCUUUUUCUGAGAAAGGAGAAUAGGAAUGAAAUAAAAAAAUCGAAAUAGAAAGAAAAGAAGCUAAUUGCAAAAGGAAAAAGGAGGGAUGUCUUUUUUUGUUUUUAUUCUUUCUUUCCUAUAAUUCAAUUUUUAUUUCUAUUUAGAGAGAUAAAAUUUUUGUCAUGAUUCAUGAACUAAUGUACUCUCUAAUUUUUUUCGUAAUUGAAAAUUCGAGGUUGAAAUGUAUAUGUGAUAUUGCUAUAAAGCACAUUUUUUUAUUUAAUGAUAAGGUUAUUAAUCAACAAAGAAAAAUUAAAAUUCUUAAAAGAUGAGAUAAAUUCAGAAGCACUUAUUUAUUAGUUUUAAAUAUAGCAGACAGAAUUCCAUUGGUCUAAUUUGGGACCUUAGAAUAGAUUUUGACUCUAUCUGACAAACAUAUCAAGAUAAAGAAUAGGAAAGGGCCCUUAGAUUUAGUUGUGACCUCUGAGGAGCCGUAUGAGGUGAAAAUCUCACGUACGGUUCUGUAAUAGCGAUGGGCACAGUGAUGUUAUCAUCGACUAUGAUUAUCUAACAGUUUAAGUACAGUUGAUAUAGUGGAAGCGCAGUCAAAAUAUGGUUUUUGGGGGUGGAAUUUGUGGCGUCAACCCAUCGGGUUUAUCGUUUUUCUAAUUUCUUCUCUCGCCGAGUGUGAAAGAUUACCUUUUGAUUUACCAGAAGCAGAAGAAGAAUUAGUAGCAGGGUAUCAAACCGAAUAUUCUGGUAUCAAAUUUGGUUUAUUUUACAUUGCUUCAUAUCUGAAUCUACUAGUUUCUUCAUUAUUUGUAACAGUUCUUUACUUGGGAGGUUGGAAUCUUUCUAUUCCGUACAUAUUUGUUCCUGAUAUAUUUGGCAUAAAUAAAGGAGGUAAAGUCUUUGGAACACUAAUUGGUAUCUUUAUCACAUUAGCCAAAACUUAUUUGUUUUUGUUCAUUCCCAUUGCAACAAGAUGGACUUUACCGAGGCUGAGAAUGGACCAACUAUUAAAUCUUGGGUGGAAAUUUCUUUUACCGAUUUCUCUAGGUAAUCUAUUAUUGACAACCUCGUCCCAACUUCUUUCACUGUAAAAGACCACAAUAUCCUAGAUUCACGACUUGUCUCAAACAAGAGAAAGAAACAAGCAUAAAAUCUUUUUUAUAGAUAUUCAACAUAUGCUCCCUAUGAUAACUGAAUUCAUAAAUUAUGGUCAACAAACAAUACGAGCCGCCAGAUAUAUCGGCCAAGGUUUCAUGAUUACCCUGUCCCACGCAAAUCGUUUACCUGUAACUAUUCAAUACCCCUACGAAAAAUUGAUCACAUCGGAACGUUUCCGAGGCCGAAUACACUUUGAAUUUGAUAAAUGCAUUGCUUGUGAAGUAUGUGUGCGUGUAUGUCCUAUAGAUUUACCCGUUGUUGAUUGGAAGUUGGAAACUGAUAUUCGAAAGAAACGAUUGCUUAAUUACAGUAUUGAUUUUGGAAUCUGUAUAUUUUGUGGUAAUUGCGUUGAGUAUUGCCCAACAAAUUGUUUAUCAAUGACCGAAGAAUAUGAACUUUCUACUUAUGAUCGUCACGAAUUGAAUUAUAAUCAAAUCGCUUUGGGUCGCUUACCAAUGUCAGUAAUUGAUGAUUACACAAUUCGAACAAUUUCGAAUUUACCUCAAAUAAACAAUGAAUAAACCCUUAAUUUGAUUCAAAAAAAUUACAAAUUACGAAGGCUUAGUUCGGAUCUAAAACAAUGAGAUUUUUGCUUGGGCAAUUCAAACUAGUGGUUUCUUAAUGAGACUCCUAGCUUAAGCUUAAUUUAGAUUGAAAACAAAACCGAGUUCAAUAUUAUAUAUUAUAAUAGUAAUGGUUUCAAAGUAGAUAAAUGAUAUCAAAAAUAGAUAGGUUUAAACUCCUCUUUCGACGAAUAAAGAAUGGAUAGUGGUCCAAUAAAAUAAAAGCAUCUACGUCAAUUCAUACCCAUUAGACUUUCAUUCAAUUAACAAUUUCAAAGUAUCAUAAAAAAUAGAAAAACUGCUUUUUUCCUGGUCAGGUCAAUAAAGUCAUGAAAUUCUUCGUUUUUGAUUUUUUAUAAAAAAUGGAUUUAUCUGAACCAAUACAUGAUUUUCUUUUAGUCUUUCUAGGAUCGGGUCUUAUAUUAGGGGGUCUAGGAGUGGUAUUACUUCCCAAUCCAAUUUAUUCGGCCUUUUCCUUGGGAUUGGUUCUUGUUUGUACAUCGUUAUUCUAUAUUCUAUCUAACGCCUAUUUUGUAGCUGCUGCGCAGCUACUUAUUUACGUAGGAGCUAUAAAUGUUUUAAUCAUUUUUGCUGUGAUGUUCAUGAAUGGCUCAGAAUAUUACAAGGAUUUUCAUCUUUGGACCGUAGGAGAUGGAAUUACUUCGAUGGUUUGUAUAAGUCUUUUUAUUUCACUAAUUACUACUAUUUCAGAUACGUCAUGGUACGGGAUUAUUUGGACUACAAGAUCAAACCAGAUUAUAGAGCAAGAUUUUCUAAGUAAUAGUCAACAAAUUGGAAUUCAUUUAUCAACAGAUUUUUUUCUCCCAUUUGAACUUAUUUCCAUAAUCCUUUUAGUUGCUUUAAUAGGUGCAAUUGCUGUAGCUCGUCAAUAAAAAAUUUCUAUUAAAACUUGGAAUUCAAAUAAAAUUUUGUUCUGUCUUAUCACAUUAAUUUUCCUUCAAUUCUAUUUGAAUUCUAGCUGGAUAAAUAGAAAGACUUUAGGUCAAUCUAGUAACAAUAUAUUUCUUUGUUCCAUACUUGUUAUAUACUAGUCAAUUAAGUUAGUUGAAUUGUUGUUCAUAUUGAAAGGAGUCGGGAUUGAUAAGGAGUUGUUUAAUGAUUCUCGAACAUGUACUUGUUUUGAGUGCCUAUUUAUUUUCCAUCGGUAUCUAUGGAUUGAUCACAAGUCGAAAUAUGGUUAGAGCCCUUAUGUGUCUUGAACUUAUAUUGAAUGCAGUUAAUAUCAAUUUUGUAACAUUUUCUGAUUUUUUUGAUAAUCGUCAAUUAAAGGGAGACAUUUUCUCAAUUUUUGUUAUAGCUAUUGCAGCCGCUGAAGCAGCCAUUGGCCUGGCUAUUGUUUCAUCAAUUUACCGUAACAGAAAAUCAACUCGUAUCAACCAAUCAAAUUUGUUGAAUAAUUAAUAUUAAUCAUCUAGAUUCUAAUAUUGAGAAAUCUAUUUUAAUUAGCAUGUUUACUACGUAAAGUAUGAUCUUGUUUGCAAAACAUAAGAAAUCAAAGUAUUUUGGCCUCUCUCAUAUCUCAUAAACCAAUCCAGAAAGGGGUUGAUUAGAAAAUUAUGAUAACUCAUUGAUUCAUCUGGUAUCUAAAUAUACGAUUCGUUUCUAAGUUUACUAGAUCGAAAAUUUAGAACAUUCAAAAACGUAUAGGCCCAAUGUCACAUUCAGUAAAGAUUUAUGAUACGUGUAUAGGAUGUACUCAAUGUGUCCGAGCCUGCCCCACUGAUGUAUUAGAAAUGAUACCUUGGGACGGUUGUAAGGCUAAACAAAUUGCUUCUGCUCCACGAACAGAGGACUGUGUUGGUUGUAAGAGAUGUGAAUCCGCCUGUCCAACAGAUUUCUUGAGUGUCCGAGUUUAUUUAUGGCAUGAAACAACUCGCAGUAUGGGUCUAGCUUAUUGAUACGUUCGAGAAAACUCUACUUGAAUCCAUUUAAUUUUUUUACCGACAAACCUGUGCUCGAAAAUAAAAAUAUUUUGAGCACGGGUUUUUUUGGUCCAAGUGUAUCUUGUCUUUACUACGAAUUAUUUUCCUUGGUUAACAAUAAUUGUCGUUUUUCCGAUAUUUGCGGGUUCUUUAAUUUUCUUUCUUCCCCAUAAAGGAAAUAGGGUAAUUAGGUGGUAUACAAUAUGUAUAUGUAUUUUAGAACUCCUUCUAACAACUUAUGCAUUUUGUUAUCAUUUCCAAUCGGAUGAUCCAUUAAUCCAACUAGUAGAGGAUUAUAAAUGGAUCGAUUUUUUUGAUUUCCAUUGGAGAUUAGGAAUAGAUGGACUUUCUAUAGGACCCAUUUUAUUAACAGGAUUUAUCACUACUUUAGCGACUUUAGCGGCUUGGCCAGUUACUCGAGAUUCUAGAUUAUUCCAUUUUCUCAUGUUAGCAAUGUACAGUGGUCAAAUUGGAUUAUUUUCGUCUCGGGACCUUUUACUUUUUUUCAUCAUGUGGGAGUUAGAAUUAAUUCCUGUUUAUCUACUUCUAGCCAUGUGGGGAGGAAAGAAACGUCUGUACUCAGCUACAAAAUUUAUUUUGUACACGGCGGGGGGUUCCGUUUUUCUCUUAAUGGGAGUUUUGGGUGUUGCUUUAUAUGGUUCUAAUGAACCAACAUUAAAUUUUGAAACAUCAGUUAAUCAGUCAUAUCCUGUGGUUUUAGAAAUAAUCUUCUAUAUUGGAUUUUUUAUUGCUUUUGCUGUCAAAUCGCCCAUUAUCCCCCUACACACAUGGUUACCAGAUACCCAUGGAGAAGCACAUUACAGUACUUGUAUGCUUCUAGCCGGAAUCUUAUUAAAAAUGGGAGCGUAUGGAUUAAUUCGAAUCAAUAUGGAAUUAUUACCUCAUGCCCAUUCUAUAUUUUCUCCUUGGUUGAUGAUAAUAGGUACAAUACAAAUAAUCUAUGCAGCUUCAACAUCUCUUGGCCAACGGAAUUUAAAAAAAAGAAUAGCCUAUUCCUCUGUCUCUCAUAUGGGUUUCAUAAUUAUAGGAAUUAGUUCUCUAACCGAUACGGGACUAAAUGGAGCCCUUUUACAAAUAAUCUCUCAUGGAUUUAUUGGUGCUGCACUUUUUUUCUUGGCGGGAACGACUUAUGAUAGAAUCCGCCUUGUUUAUCUUGACGAAAUGGGCGGAAUAGCUAUUCCAAUGCCAAAAAUGUUCACGAUGUUCAGUAGCUUUUCGAUGGCUUCCCUUGCAUUACCAGGUAUGAGUGGUUUUGUUGCCGAAUUGAUAGUAUUUUUUGGAAUAAUUACCGGCCAAAAAUAUCUUUUAAUGCCAAAACUACUAAUUACUUUUGUAAUGGCAAUUGGAAUUAUAUUAACUCCUAUUUAUUCAUUAUCUAUGCCACGCCAGAUGUUCUAUGGAUACAAGUUAUUUAACGCCCCGAAGGAUUCUUUUUUUGAUUCUGGACCGCGAGAGUUAUUUCUUUCGAUCUCCAUCUUUUUACCCGUAAUAGGUAUUGGUAUAUACCCCGAUUUCGUUCUUUCAUUAGCAGUUGACAAGGUCGAAGUUAUUCUAUCUAAUUUUUUUAUAGAUAAUUGGAUGACUGAAAUAAAAAAACCUAUGUUUGUUUUUAAAAACAUUCUUGGACAAUGAAAAAAAGUCUUCUUUUUUCUUCUCUUUUAACUUAAGAAUUAAGUAAAAACAAUGAAAUUGAACUACAUAUGGUAGAAAACCGUGUGAAUCAUCAAUACAAUAUUUGAUUCACACGGUCCGCAUGCUGGUUCAUACAAUGCGUCGCCCGCUCUUGUAUUUGUAAUAACUUGUCUUGAAUUCAAUUAAAUGUUGAUGGAAAAGAACCAUAACUAUGUAACCCUAUUCCUAAUAGAUUGACCCCAAAAUAGCAUAUCCAAAUUAUAAGAAAACCUAUCGACGCUACAAUUGCAGAAUUUGGACCCCGCAAAUUUCUAUUUGUUCGAGUAUGUAAAUAAAUGGCAAAUACGAUCCAAGUAAUAAAUGCCCAAGUUUCUUUUGGAUCCCAAUUCCAAUAGGAACCCCACGCUUCAUUAGCCCAUACCGCUCCCGAAAGGAUUCCUAUGGUUAAAAAAGUAAAUCCUAAACUAAUAACCCGAUAACUCCAAUAAUCCAAUUGUUGAAUCAAUUGGGACCUGUAAUAAUUUUUAGCACAAAAAAACGAAGUAUUUUCGACAACAUUUUCACCCAAGAAAAAUGACUCGUUUAAAAAAACAUUGCUCUUAGAAAAAAGCUUUCUGUUUUUUCGAAAU